rnacentral:lncRNA from 1 species
AGAGUAGCCUAGCUGUCAUGACGUAUACUGGAUUAGCUGUCAACAGCCCUGAGAGGUUAGUAAAGAAAGUAAACACAAAUCCUACUCUGUAUCUAUUUUACUAAAACCAUGACCAGGAAUUAGUUCGGAGUCGAUCCUAUACUCUAGUCUUAGUCCAACAAGGACUUUUUACCUAACAACCAAUGUUGUAUAUUUUUAUCAAGGUUGAAUGACUUACCAAAUGUUCAAAUUUGAAGAAAACGAUCCAAUCCUAAGGUCAUUUGUGUCCUAAAAAGGACAUCAAAGAACAGUUCCAUCGUCAUCAUCAAAAUCC